GCAAGCUUCAGCAUUACAUAUUCUAAAAUUGGAAUAAUACACAAAAGACUACGAUGGUCCUUGUACAAGGAUAACAUACAAACUUGUGAAGUGUUUUAUAUUUUU